rnacentral:lncRNA from 1 species
GGAAGACAAUGGGGGAGGACCCUGAGGCGGCCUCUGUGAGCCGACAGGAACACGUGGUCGAUCAGAGAGAGACUCGAGGUUCGUGAACGGAUGGGGAGGACCCUGAAAAGCACUGUGGAAUACAGGUUUCUAGUAACUUCAAAAUCACAUCAUUUGGACUGGGUAAGAAUUGCUGAAACUUUAAUGAAAAGACUGACUGGCUUAUAAAACUGCUAACCCAAAUAGAAUAAAAAUUAAUUGAAUACCGAGGAAAUGCUUCACCAGGUUUGCAUACUUAAUCAGCCUAUACUGAAAUUGUUUAGAUAUACAAUUUGAAUGAACUCCAUGGUCUAAGUCAAAUUACCUGUGAUAACCCAUCAGUUAUCCAUGCUAUGUGCCCAAUUUGGAGAAACAACUGGCACCCAAGAGGACAUAAGUCCGAUGUUAAGCAUGGACUCAUGGAGAACCAAGAUGGCUGCCUUGUCCUUCGUGAGUCCUUAAAGCUUUUGUUAUUAAAAGUUAUGCAUUCCAUGACUCAUCCUGGAAAAGAUAAAAUGAUCCAAAUUAAAUAUGUUGGUGUGGUGACUUACAGAUUGUUAAAAUAGUUUAUAAACAAUGUUUAGUUUGUCAAACCCAUACUCCUGGGAAGUCAAUCAAAGCUUCAUGUACAUUUGGCUACCUGAUGAGGCAUUUAAACAUUUAUAAAGGGGUUUCAUUCAGUUGUCAUUUUCAAUGUAUGUGUUCUGGUUGUACUAAAGCUUUCCCAUGCAGGAGGGCUAAUGUUAUAACAGUAGAUUACUAUGUAUCAGUGUAUUUUCACCAGGUAAAGAGCUUUUUAUGGUUCACUGAGGACAAUCAACCCCUUCACAAUCUAGAACCCAAAGAUGGGAUCUUCUGAGAACAUCAGAGAAACGCUGCCCUUGGCAUCAUCACUGCAACAAAACAUCAGGAUCUUGAACCUUGGGGUCAUAAUCUCACAACUGAGCAGGGUCACUCUUGGAACUCUACAUCCAUUGAAACCCUUAAGGUAAAGCUAAUCAGGGAAGUUUCUCCCCAGAAGAAGAUGGCAUCCUUGAUGUGAGCAGCUCUUUCUGAAGAUCAUGGAUCAAGACUUCUUACUAUCAUGAGACUCUUAUCUUUGAAUGUUUUUCCGUUGCUUCCGCCUCUGUGAACAACAGAAGUGAGAAGGGGGUCUGUUUUGUGCACUUAUGGGGUAUACUUUUAUUUGUGAAGGGCUUUGCAGCCAGCUUUAUACAUGGAUAAUCUUAUAACUUGAUAGAUAAAGAUGAAGGCCCAGUGUAUCAUAGGUGAGAAACUUCAAUGGUACAUAUGGUGCCUCAUAAUCAUUCAGAAGCAGAACAUUGGUUCACUCCUCUUAACCCACAGCAUGGGUUAAAGAGACCAUUGCCAAGAGGCCUUCCCUCUUCUAGAAGGGCAUCAUUUGUUAGGUCCUUUUUCCAUGGUUUGGAAUUAAAAAGGCAAUGACUAGAAACAUAUCCCUCAUGGUAGACUCUGUAGCAGAUUCUACUGUAAAGGCUACACAACAGAUGUUAAAUUCUCUUGUGAAAGUUAUGCUAAAAAAUAGAAUUGGCUAAACAGGAAAGUACCUGUGCAGAUGCUGGCACUUAAGGCCUAUGGAGAAAACAUCAGGUGUUAUAGAGAGUCUGUUGUAGGGAAUUAACGAAAAGACCACUGAGUUAAGUCAAAGAAUGGUCUAUUUGAGUUUAGGUGGUCUGGUUUAUGGGGACCCUGGCUAAGGAGCAUACUCCAAAUUCUUGGUGUUAACCCUCUCAGUAGUCAUAAGAAUAGUCUCCCUGGUGCACUGUAUUCUCUCAAAGGUUUUAAAUGUUUGCAUGAAGCCAUCUUUAGAACGUCAGAUGGUCUCUCUUCAACUGGAAUGACAAGAGCUGAAAGAAAUGUGUGACCACGAGGACACCGAAACCGAUGAGUGACAUGCUGAGACUGGAAAUCCAAAAUGAUAGUAACGGAGAGUGGCGCUAACAUCCUAAGUUUUGGUCACACUCUUGCCUAAGUGACAACCUGACAAAGGGGGAAUUUUUUAAACAAAAUGAUGGGAGGCCAUUGUUUUGGACUGAGCACUAGGUCCCAACAGACCAAACCGAACCAAAAUGGCAUCAUUCGUGCUAAAUGUGACAUAAUCGAAUUAAGACUUUAAGGAAACACAUGGGUCCUAGAAUAGACCAGGUUUUGUUUUUCUCUUGCAAACAGGACUUUCCAGCAUAAGGUGGUAUCCUCAACUCAGUCCUUGUUCCUACCUUUGCAAAACUCACUGUUCUGCUUCCUAGUGGGUUUCAAGACCAAUGGUGACAGUGACAUCAAUAACUCAAGUUUCGAUCAAUCUCUCAAAACUGAUAAAAUGACCAAAAAGGGGGAAUUGUUAAAGCGAACUAAAUAUGGCCUGAGAAGGACUCCGUACUUCUGUAUUGGAGUCCCUGUGAACAAACUGAGCCUAACUUAAUAGGUAGACAAGAUUGAAAACCUAAAUUAGGAGUAUGUACCUGUCACAAUUGCUGAGUCUCGGCCAGUCCCAGCAGCCGUACUUCAAUCACUCAUACACUGCUGAAUGUUCAAACUGUGUGUAAAUAAGGCAAAUGCCAACCUGUAACUAAUCCAGGUGUUUCUCUACCUCACUUCCCUUUUUUUGUCUAUAAAUCUUCCACCACGUGGCUGCACUGGAGUCUCUCUGAAUCUGCUGUAAUUCUGGGGGCUGCCCGAUGUGCAAAUCAUUCAUUGCUCAAUUAAACUCCUUUAAAUUUAAUUCAGCUGAAGUUUUCUUUUAACAAGAGUGAGAUAAGAAUCUGUGUUCUUAUCCCCCAGAAUGGACAA